ACGUUGAAUGCAGUCCAUUCUAAACCUGUGGGAGUGUAGAAUGUGAAAGUUUAUCUUUCCGUGCCUGCCCAGUGGAAAUCAAGGCUGUCCUGCUCCUGUAAAUUCAGUGCUGUAGAAUAUCAGAUGUGACAUGACAAUGUGAAGGGAAACGGGUCACUACCUGCUUACUACAGCUGCUGAGGCAGUCUGGAGCAUUAGUUUCACUCAGGGACAAACGGUCGUACCACAGCAAAGUCAGGGUAUUGCUCAGUUACAGGGACAAGCCAGCUUUCUUCAGAAAGUUAAAACAAAGCCUUUAAUUUAGCUUAUGAAUCAGGCUGAUUCAAUACUAAUGUUUCAUCUUGUUUCACCCGGCCUCCUGCAUUCAAGGCAGCAGCGAAGAAAGGCGCAGAGCACAGGUAAGUCAGGCGAUAAGCAAAGCAAGCCCUCCAGCAGAAUGAGCUCUCUCCCACUGCAUCCACCCCGCAGAGCCUGUUCCAGGAACAGGAUCUUCCCCGAUGCCACCACUGAGAGACGCAGAGGAGAAGCAUCACGUUCCGCGCUUCAAGGCCUGGUUCACGACUGCGACUGCCACAGUGCGGGAGAGCGGACGAGCCAGCUAGCCAGACCAUAUGUUCAAUCUACUACUAUUUGUGGAUAAAAUUAAAAGAGCAGCUGUGACAGGAAAACUAAAGGUGCAGGCAAGCCUUCAUUGGGAACGUUAUGUACAGCCUCAUCAGUCAUGGUCAAGCAAAGGGCUGCCAAGACAGCAAAGAGGCUGAAGAACCUCUGGUCCGUCAGGAGAUCACAAGAACUUGGUUUGUCAGCUCAGCAAAGUGAAGGCAGAGGGGAGGUAUGAUGGCUCUUGGCAAAUACCCGAGAAGAAACAACACUGGGAUAGGCAAAGAACUAAUUGUACUGCAGGAUGCUAGCACUAAUGUUACCUUGAAAAAAAACCCCAACACCCUAAUGUAAGCAUAAAGGGAAGUAAAUUCAUAAGCAGCCUUUUCAUAAGCUGGCAGAGGAGGAAAAAACCUGAUUUUAAGAGUGAGUAACUGAAUUCAUUUACUAGGAAGAUUAUUCCUAUCCUUUUUUCUAACAUGUUGAAAUCACAAAAAAAAAUGAAGCAAAAAACCAGAACAGAUCUCAGCCUGAAUCAAGCAAGAUAUUUCACAUGUAUUUAUAUGCUCGGAAUCUAUGUCAGUUGCAAAACAAAAGGUUGUUGAGAAAGAGGGAAUGAGAGAAAGAGACAAAGAGAAAGAAAGAGAGCAAGAACAAGAGAGAAAGAGGAAGAGACGGAGAGAAACAGGGAGAAUCAAAGAGAAACAGGGAGAAACAGAGAAAGGGAAGGAAAGAGAAAUAUUUUCAAAUAAAAGAAAGUGUUCCCAACACGGUGUUUAAAUCCAUUAAUUCAAGGCAUUUUUGAAUCGGGUAAUUUAUCAAAAUGUACUGUUUCACCAUGUUUCAAAGAAUCAGCAUUUUUUUUCCUUAAAAAGUUAUUAAAAAAUCCUAAAUGCACUGCUAUACAAAUAACCCGCUUUCUUCUUUGAAGUGUUCCCUCAGUCUUUAUGCAAAACUUGCAUAAUAAGAUAGACUUCAAUAUGUCAAUAUUAUCGUAAGCUUACAGGAACGGAAAAUCUGGGUAUGUUACGGCUUUGUUAACAUUGCUGGAAAUAAAUUCUCUAAAUCAAGGGAUUCAAAAGAUUUUCACUUUGUUAUUUUUUCUGACUUUAAGCAAAAGGAGAAGGAAAAUGCAAAGAUAAUUUGUUUAUAGAUUUGGUGGACUGACAGAAGAGUGUUUAGCAAGGUUUGUGUUCUACUCACUGCAAGCAAUCAAAGAACACAGUUCCUGGAUGUUGGUGAUUAAACGCACAUCAGAGCAUUGGUUUUGCCUGCAUGGUGAUUUGCACACAGGCAUACAUAGAUUCAAAAAUCUGGAUAAAUAAAUACAGCCCAGGUUAUCAACUAUAUUAACAUUAAUCCAUUUUCAAACAAUUACCAGUCCAUAAAGGCAUGUUACAGCAUGUUACAAGCUUCAGCAAUACCUAACCUUUAUAUAAUAAAAAUGUUUUUAUUUUUCCUCAAUUUUGGAGACAAAGCAAGCACUGGAGAAAAGUCACCUAAGGAUUCAAAAGUUUGAGGAAAUCCUAAAUACAGGGAAACAGGAGGUUAGAACUGAAAACGCCUGGCUGUUUUUACCAUCUUAAACUACAAACGCUCCUGCGUGGCCCAAUAUAAUCCAUGAGCCUGCAAGAGGAAGGCUGUUCUAUGGCUCAUGUGUAGAUGAGAAGGAGCAAACGGGAAAGACUACCCAAGUUCAUCUGCAUGGAAACUGCAAAAGUGCCUGGAAUAUUAGGGGCAUACAGAAGCUGAGUAUUUAUUAGGAAGAUUGCAACUCGUCCUGAGUAGAAAUGAGGAUUGAGAUUCAGUACAAAGUUAACUGAAGCGAAACAAUUCUGCAACUUCAGCAGUUUAUACCGAAAUAUGGAGAAGCAGAGAAAGGAGAUAAAUAGUUCAGAGAGCAACAGAACUGUGAAAAUUACUUACCUUUUUUUUAAAAAAAAUUUAUAAUGCAUUUUCUUCAGUUGUGUACACUCACCCUUUUAGGUUCAGCUUAAGACAUUUGUGCAAGCAAUUUUACUUCCAGCAAACAUUAACAUUUUGUGGGCAAACCGAAAAAUCACUAGAUUUUUAUGUCUACACACACACGUGUUUUUGUUCAAUUUAUUCAAGCACUUGUCCUCUCAGAAAGUAAGAAGAAUUCUGUUCAGCAAGCAAGAACCACAGACAGGUCUCAAGUGAGUAAGGAAUGCCUUCGAAGAGCGUUUUUCUGCUGAAAGCUGAAAUAUCUGCUGAGUGUGUCAGAGGAGACUGUGUCUGUUGGAUUCCCAAACGCAGCGUUAUUUCUCCCUUGAGCUACAUGAAACAGGAUGAAGGGCAGAGGAGAUGGAGAGCGGGGAUAAACCUUUAGCACUGGGACUGCGAUUUCAGCCCAAAGCCUGCCUUGAAGGAGGGGAUAUGAGAGGCUUCUAAGCAACAGGAGGACAAAUUCUUCCUUCUGCUUAUGUACAUCCAGAAUUGGAAUUUAGGAAGACCGGUAAAGGAGAGCAGUAACUGAAUCCAGGCAGGAAAAGGCAAUAACAACUUCUGUGAAGCAAUUACAAAUGUCAGCGAUAAAUUAGAACAGCCUUAUCAAUGAAAGAGAAAGAUGGCUGAUCUUUUGAAAUGCUUCUGAAAAAUCCCUACAGAAUAAGCAGUAGAAAGUUGGCUUUGUAUCUGCCAGAAUUAUACAGAAACAUUAUUGUGCUACAUAUACAUGCACAAAUUAAUGUAACACAAAUCAAUACAAUGCACAACAAUAUUGCUUAUGUUCCCCAUUUGAAGUUCUGCAUUUCCCUGUUGCAUUUCAGAGUUUGCAUUAUAUAGUACACGAUUCCUACAUUUUCCUUAAUUUUAGAAACUGUCCUACUAGCAACUGCUGCUCUUCUGCCCGAGAACCACAGGGUGGGGUUUUAACCAUCAACGCUGUUCAGCAUCAAAAGUAAAGUUGGAUUCUACCCCUACGUGAGACGGAUUGGAGCUGCAAUGCCCGAGUUGCACGCAGAGUUGCCAUGCCCUCCCAUCUCUACUGAGACACGGCACAUGCAGAAAGUGAUUGCAACGGCAGGGAGGGAUUGGCAGACAUUGCACUAAUGGAUCAUGUUUUCUCAAGGUUCUGGAGAAAAAAACUAAGGAGAGCUGGAGAGCUUCUGGAGAGCUUCUGGAGAGCUGGUUUAGCAGAACUGAAUUUCCUACUUUUUCAGUUUGCUGAACAGUGAGAGAAAAUCUAAUGAAAUAGGUAUUCUUACAGCGCCAAAAUUGUCCGAGCUGUCCCAAACAAGCAGCUUCAGGAAAAUACAACCCUGAAAAAUGCACAGCAAGAACUCAAGAAUAUGACCAAGAUGAAUAAGGGAAAGUGGCUUGACACCCUUUUCCUAAAAGUCUCCUAUAUUAUGGCUUCUGACUAUGAAUUAUUUAGAAAGCCUUUGGAAAACAUCAUUGCUUAUGGGAAAAGCCUGCAUCUCUAAAGAGAUCACAGCUUUGUGAGCAGGAUCUUAAUUUAUUAUUUCAAUAUACCAUCUCAGGGGUGCCCAGCUACUGAAACAAAAAAAAGUAAUUUUAAGAAGUUUGUUUACUCACUUUUCUUUUUUUUCCCCGUGAAUAAGAUGCAAUAGGCUUAACUACCCUUUCUCCAGACAGCUCCUGGCAGGCCUUGAGAAGACAACACGGCACGGGAGGACUGCAGAACCAUGCCAGCAACUUCAGACACAGCAACUCCCAGACAAAUAACUAGCAUCUAAAUUCAACAAUAUUUAUUAUUUUCCAUCUAAAAUCUGGUUUUCAUCAUGGUGAACUCCAGGGAUAGAAUCUUGCUGGUAAGCCCGUAUUUCAGUACUGGUACUCAAUCUAGACUUCAGUGACUACCACUCUAAAGCUCUUGCGACCUGCCUACCCUGGCAGGAACGGAUAAGCAUAUGUAUAUAUACGUUGCACAGCCCUUCAGCAGGUUGUGUCCCCCGUGCCAGGGUUUGGGAAGCACUAGUACAGUUUAUUAAAGUUCCAGCUAAAGCUUCUCAGUUCCCAGCAUAAGAAAGCAAGCUGUAACGACGUUACAGCAUUAUAGGUUCAUUACAGAAGCUCACUCAUUGGAAGCAGUUAAGAAGAAACCGGACCAAGUAUUUCUGCAGGUCAAGCACUGGUAGGGCAGAGGAGCCACAUUACAAACAUUACAUUUUCAGGAUAUAAUUUGUGUGAUUCUCUCCCCUGUUCUCUACUACUUACAUGAUGCAACUCUGUUUAUAGCAAAGUAGGGACAGUAGGGACAGCUUAAUCAGGACAGUCUAAUGUAUGGGCAAUUAUCCAAAGCCACACGUUUUCUAAAUUCUGUGUGGGCAGAGAUGGAGCUUAAGAGCUCUGCAGGGAUCAGAGCUGCUAACGAACUUCUAAGGAGGGCUCUGGGGACUGGGAUGUGCAUAAUGAGAAAAUCUGGAUAUUCGGUGUGAAGAACUCUCCUAAUUUAUCUGCAGUCUAUGUAAAUUAAAUUUGUAUUUAAUGCUUAUCACUACGCAGUCCACUUUAGCACUGGGAUAAAUUGGGUAGCCUGUGAUUUUUCCGUUUUUUGUUAUUAAUGUGGCUGAAAGUGGUUCAGAAAGGGGAGAUCUGGAAAACUUAGUCAAGCAUGCUGUUGGGAAGUUUGGCUACUAUAUAGCCAAAUAUUCCUGUCAGCUCUCACCUCUUCAGGCUACAGCAUCGUGUCUGCAGGCUACAUGCUUUUUUAUUCCCAUGUGUUACAUUUGGACAUCAUAUGCAUACAGUGUGUAUAUAUAUGCGUGUGUGUGUAUAUACACACACAUACACCUAUAACACAUCUACUAAAACAAAGGGGUCUAGAGACCCCUAAAAUACUGAAUUUAUAAAAGAAUAAGAUAAAAAAAUCCUCCAAAAUACUUCAUUCUAUCUUUUCUUCUAAACGUGCUUCCACUAUAUUUAACCUACUGAAGUCUUUAGACAUCCUUGGUGUUUACCUUUAGUUUUAAUCCAGUUCCUUUGUUACUGAAUCAGUUCAGAAAAACAUCUCUGUUCAGGAAAGCCCUUAAACAUACACUUAAGUACAUUCUUAAA